rnacentral:lncRNA from 1 species
CCUGUUCAGGAAAGCCAUUCAUCUCCUUAAGAGGGUCCUUCUGAUUCACAGAGAUAUCUCCUGAAGAUUCUUUUCCCUGUUGAGGCAACUCAGAAGGUUCUUUUCCCUGUUGAGGCAAUGCAGAAGGUUCCUUUCCCAGUUGAGGCAACAUAGAAGGUUCUUUUCCCAGUUGAGGCAACAUAGAAGGUUCUUUUCCCUGUUGAGGCAACAUAGAAGGUUCUUUUCCCUGUUGAGGCAACACAGAAGGUUCUUUUCCCUGUUGAGGCAACACAGAAGGUCCUUUUCCCUGUUGAGGCAACACAGAAGGUUCUUUUCCCUGUUGAGGCAACACAGAAGGUUCUUUUCCCUGUUGAGGCAACACAGUCAUCUCCUGAAAUCCACAUGGCAUUGCCACCAAGGAUGGUUGACCAUCAAACAGUUCAGCUGGACUCGGACCUUGAUACCUUACAUCUGCAA